UACGUAGGGGGCAAGCGUUGUCCGGAAUCAUUGGGCGGAAAGAGCGUGUAGGCGGUCCGUUAAGUCGGCUGUGAAAGUCCAGGGCUCAACCCUGGGAUGCCGGUCGAUACUGCCGGACUAGAGUUCGGAAGAGGCGAGUGGAAUUCCCGGUGUAGCGGUGAAAUGCGCAGAUAUCGGGAAGAACACCAACGGCGAAGGCAGCUCGCUGGGACGGUACUGACGCUGAGACGCGAAAGCGUGGGGAGCGAACAGG
rnacentral:rRNA from 1 species